rnacentral:rRNA from 1 species
CGGAGGAGCAUGUGGUUUAAUUCGUAUGAUACGCGAGGACCUUACCUGGGCUCGAACGUAAGAUGACUGUAGGUGAAAGCUUACAUCUCUUCGGAGCAUUUUACGAGGUGCUGCAUGGUUGUCGUCAGCUCGUGCCGUGAGGUGUCGGGUUAAGUCCCAUAACGAGCGCAACCCCUACCUUUAGUUGCCAUCAGGUUAAGCUGGGGACUCUAAAGGAACUGCCUACGCAAGUAGUGAGGAAGGCGGGGAUGACGUCAAAUCAGCACGGCCCUUACGUCCAGGGCUACACACGUGCUACAAUGGCCGAUACAGAGGGCAGCUACCUGGUGACAGGAUGCAAAUCUCCAAAGUCGGUCUCAGUUCGGAUCGGAGUCUGCAACCCGACUCCGUGAAGUUGGAUUCGCUAGUAAUCGCGCAUCAGCCAUGGCGCGGUGAAUACGUUCCCGGGCCUU